rnacentral:misc_RNA from 1 species
AACCUAGCACACCUGCGGUGUGUAUCUGCGGAGGGAUCAUUAACCUUUCAAAUCAGGGUGCGGCGCGGCCCCCGAGGAGCGGAAACAAUCCUUGGGAGGUAUGCGGGGGCUUCGAGCCCCCCAUUUACGCACGCACGACUGCCAUCCUUACUUUACGAGCACCUUCUGUUCUCCCUCGGCGGGGCAACCUGCCGUUGGAACCGAAUAAACUCUUUUUGCAUCUAGCAUUACCUGUUCCGA